GGUAGUCCACGCCCUAAACGAUGCGAACUGGAUGUUGGGUGCAAUUUGGCACGCAGUAUCGAAGCUAACGCGUUAAGUUCGCCGCCUGGGGAGUACGGUCGCAAGACUAAAACUCAAAUGAAUUGACGGGGGCCCGCACAAGCGGUGGAGCAUGUGGUUUAAUUCGAUGCAACGCGAAGAACCUUACCUACUCUUGACAUCCAGAGAACUUAGCAGAGAUGCUUUGGUGCCUUCGGGAACUCUGAGACAGGUGCUGCAUGGCUGUCGUCAGCUCGUGUUGUGAAAUGUUGGGUUAAGUCCCGCAACGAGCGCAACCCUUAUCCUUUGUUGCCAGCGGUUAGGCCGGGAACUCAAAGGAGACUGCCAGUGAUAAACUGGAGGAAGGUGGGGAUGACGUCAAGUCAUCAUGGCCCUUACGAGUAGGGCUACACACGUGCUACAAUGGCGCAUACAAAGAGAAGCGACCUCGCGAGAGCAAGCGGACCUCAUAAAGUGCGUCGUAGUCCGGAUUGGAGUCUGCAACUCGACUCCAUGAAGUCGGAAUCGCUAGUAAUCGUAGAUCAGAAUGCUACGGUGAAUACGUUCCCGGGCCUUGUACACACCGCCCGUCACACCAUGGGAGUGGGUUGCAAAAGAAGUAGGUAGCUUAACCUUCGGGAGGGCGCUUACCACUUUGUGAUUCAUGACUGGGGUGAAGUCGUAACAAGGUAACCGUAGGGGAACCUGC
rnacentral:rRNA from 1 species